GACGAACGCUGGCGGCGUGCCUAAUACAUGCAAGUAGAACGCUGAAGAGAGGAGCUUGCUCUUCUUGGAUGAGUUGCGAACGGGUGAGUAACGCGUAGGUAACCUGCCUUGUAGCGGGGGAUAACUAUUGGAAACGAUAGCUAAUACCGCAUAACAAUGGAUGACACAUGUCAUUUAUUUGAAAGGGGCAAUUGCUCCACUACAAGAUGGACCUGCGUUGUAUUAGCUAGUAGGUGAGGUAAUGGCUCACCUAGGCGACGAUACAUAGCCGACCUGAGAGGGUGGUCGGCCUCACUGGGACUGAGACACGGCCCAGACUCCUACGGGAGGCAGCAGUAGGGGAUCUUCGGCAAUGGGGGCAACCCUGACCGAGCAACGCCGCGUGAGUGAAGAAGGUUUUCGGAUCGUAAAGCUCUGUUGUAAGUCAAGAACGGGUGUGAGAGUGGAAAGUUCACACUGUGACGGUAGCUUACCAGAAAGGGACGGCUAACUACGUG
rnacentral:rRNA from 1 species